rnacentral:rRNA from 1 species
UACGGAGGAUCCAAGCGUUAUCCGGAAUCAUUGGGUUUAAAGGGUCCGUAGGCGGUUUAGUAAGUCAGUGGUGAAAGCCCAUCGCUCAACGGUGGAACGGCCAUUGAUACUGCUGAACUUGAAUUACUGGGAAGUAACUAGAAUAUGUAGUGUAGCGGUGAAAUGCUUAGAGAUUACAUGGAAUACCAAUUGCGAAGGCAGGUUACUACCAGUGGAUUGACGCUGAUGGACGAAAGCGUGGGUAGCGAACAGG